rnacentral:rRNA from 1 species
UACAGAGGUCCCAAGCGUUGUUCGGAUUCAUUGGGCGUAAAGGGUGCGUAGGCGGCGCGGUAAGUCGGGUGUGAAAUCUUGGAGCUUAACUCCGAAACUGCAUUCGAUACUGCCGUGCUUGAGGACUGGAGAGGAGACUGGAAUUUACGGUGUAGCGGCGAAAUGCGUAGAUAUCGUAAGGAAGACCAGUGGCGAAGGCGGGUCUCUGGACAGUUCCUGACGCUGAGGCACGAAGGCCAGGGGAGCAAACGGG